GUGUUCGUAGUGCAGUGGUUAGCACGCUUGUCUUUUAAACGACAGACUCGGGUUCGAUCCCCGACGGAGACC